GGCUUGGGAUGCUCAGAGCCCUGGUGAGGUUUGGCAGGGAGUAGCUGUUACCCAGCAUGUCAGGCUGGUAAAUGAGGAAGGAAGCAGCUGUGAUGGGUUCUGGGCUUUUUGCUCCCCUCUGUGUGUACGCAGCUCCCACACUGGGUAGCUGAUUCUGCAGAACUUUGCCAAGAGUUAGAGCAAUUAUUUCCAUCCCGUGCAUCCCAUUACUUUGCAUUUUUUCCCUUUGUAUUUGCCCUCUGAUAGGGGCAGUGGAGCUGGUGCAGAGGGGUGGGGCUGCACUUAGCUGUAUUCAUGCAGGAAAACAGUGCUGCGAGUCCAAGUGAGUGUCCUGGGUGCUUCAGCAGAAGCCUGCUGUCUUGGGAGGAUCUUUCUCUUCAGGGCUUUCCUCCUGCCCCAGGAACUUGAGGGCGCUGGCUCCAACUGCUUUAAUUGCUGGGAUCUUGCAAAUUGAGAGCAUUGAAGCCUCAGAGUGCAGGGGUGGCAGGGGGAGGCAGAAGGGGAUGCAGGAGGGGAUGAAGGAGGGGAAACAGAAGGGGAUGCAAGAGAAGAUGCUGGAGGUGAAGCAGGAGGGGAUGCAGGAGGAGAAUCAGGAGGGGAUGCUGGAGGGCAAUGCUGGAGGUGAAGCAGGAGGGGAUGCAGGGGAAUCAGGAGGGGAUGCUGGAGGAGAAUCAAGAGGGGAUGCAGGAGGAGAUGAAGCAGGAGGUGAAACAGGAGGGGAUGCAGGAGGGAAAGCAAGAGGAGAUGCAGGGGGAGAUGCAGGAGGGGGUGUAGGAGGAAAAGCAGGAGAGGACGCUGGAGGGGAAGCAGGAGGGGGUGCAGGAGGAGAUGUAGGAGGGGAUGCAGGAGGGGACACAGGAGGGAAUGCAAGCAGAGAUGCAGGAGGAGAUGAAGGGUGUAAUGCAGGAGGCAAAGCAGGAAGCACCAUUUUUGCCCAGGCUCAGAAUGACCUUUCUGGUUGCACAAACUUGGACUUGUGCUGAGAGAACGCAGCCUUUGAGACCCAUUGUGGUUUCCCAGAUUUGGUUCUUCUCCUGUCUUUUUUUUUUCUCCCAACUGUCCCUGUGUGUUUUCAGUGCUCAGGGCUGCGUGGGGUGGCCACAUCUCUGCUGUGAGAUGUUUGGAUUGCAGGGAGCACCAUGGGUCUCCCUGCAGUGAGAGCAGUGAGGGGCUCAGGCAGAAAAAAGCACAGAAGCCCAGCAGCUCACCUGCACCACGUCCCUGAUGGCACUGCAGGGUUUGUGCUUUGCUGUUCUCUCU
rnacentral:lncRNA from 1 species